rnacentral:rRNA from 1 species
CCUACGGGUGGCAGCAGUCGAGAAUCAUUCACAAUGGGGGAAACCCUGAUGGAGCGACGCCGCGUGGGGGAAUGAAGGUCUGCGGAUUGUAAACCCCUGUCAUGAGGGAGCAAAUUAAAAAGAUAGUACCACAAGAGGAAGAGACGGCGAACACGGUGCCAGCAGCCGCGGUAAGACAGAGGGCGCCAGCGGUGUUCGGAUUCACUGGGCGUAAAGCGUUCGUAGGCGGUUUCGUCAGUCGUGUGUGAAAGGCGCGGGCUCAACCCGCGGACGGCACCUGAUACUGCGAGACUAGAGUAAUGGAGGGGUCACCGGAAUUCUCGGUGUAGCUGU